rnacentral:lncRNA from 1 species
GAUCAGUCAGUUACUGAUGAAAAACCAGACACAGGAGAAAAGAAGGAAGAACAAGAAGAAGUUGCAGGAACUAAAGAAGAAGCUGUAGAACCAGAACCAGAAGUUGCAACUGAAGUAGUGGUGGAAACUAAAGAAGUAGUAGAAGAUGAGACCAAAACUGUAACAGAAGAGCCCCCAUCGGAGAAAACUGAAGAAGAAACUCCUAAGGAAACAGAACCAGAAAAAGAAGAAAAGGAAUCCCCAAAAGAAACAGUAACUGAGGAGACUGUUGCUGAGGAGACUACUAAAGAGACCACUGAGAGUACU